CUUACUUUCUUUAAGAGUAGCGGUCAUUUGAGUUUGAAUAGCCACUAUUUGUCGGGUGAGUGCAUCGAAUUGUGAGGGGUUCAUGUUUAAGGUACUAGAGCUAGAAGUGACAAGAUGACCAAUAUGUAACUACAUGCACUGUAAUAGCAACUUAAUGACAUGCAAUAGAGAGAUCAACGAACAAAAAGUGCAAGUAAUGAAAAAUGAAAAUUUGAACUAAUUUUUUUUUAAUUUAAAUUUUGGGACUAAAAUUAUAUACAACAAGCUAGUACUGCUGGUAUAUGUAAAAUAAUAAAGCAAUGGUCAAAUACUAGUCAAAACCUAAUCACGUAAAAUAAGCAGGUUAAAGUGAGAUUUAACGAGGUCAAUGGAUCCAAUUAUGUGAGUUUAGAUAAAAAUAGAUCAG
rnacentral:lncRNA from 1 species